rnacentral:rRNA from 1 species
UUGACCUCAAAUCAGGUAGGAUUACCCGCUGAACUUAAGCAUAUCAAUAAGCGGAGGAAAAGAAACUAACAAGGAUUCCCCUAGUAACUGCGAGUGAAGCGGGAAAAGCUCAAAUUUGAAAUCUGGCAGUUUUCAACUGUCCGAAUUGUAAUCUAGAGAAGUGUUACCUGUGCGGGACCAUGUACAAGUCUUCUGGAAUGAAGCAUCAUAGAGGGUGAGAAUCCCGUCUUUGACAUGGACUACCUGUACAUUGUGGUAUGCUCUCAAAGAGUCGAGUUGUUUGGGAAUGCAGCUCAAAAUGGGUGGUAAAUGCCAUCUAAAGCUAAAUAUUGGCGAGAGACCGAUAGCGAACAAGUACCGUGAGGGAAAGAUGAAAAGAACUUUGGAAAGAGAGUUAAACAGUACGUGAAAUUGCUGAAAGGGAAACGCUUGAAGUCAGUCACAUUGGCUAGAAAUCAGCCUUGCUUCUGCUUGGUGUACUUUCUGGUUGAUGGGUCAGCAUCAAUUUUGACCACUGGAUAAAGUCUCUGGGAAUGUGGCAUCUUUUUUGGAUGUGUUAUAGCCCAUUGUCGCAUGCAGUGGUUGGGAUUGAGGAACUCAGCACGCCCUGCAAGGGGCCAGGUUUCUACCAUGUUCGUGCUUAGGAUGCUGGCAUAAUGGCUUUAAUCGACCCGUC